UUAAGCACUGGCGCGGCGGAUUGUAAAACUCAGAAAAUAAAACCUCCCCGCAAAACCUAUUCCAAAGUUAACCUCACCUUCCGCAGAACCUAAAUUCAUCCUCCCGCAAAAUCCAAACCAUAACCGCACAUCACCAAAAUCUCCCACGUUGUACCGCCGCCGCCGCAAUACCGCCGCUCUUUUUCAAUCUCUGGUGAAGUCGAGUUUCAUAGUCCGAUUUUUUAGGGUGUUAGCAGUUUAUGUUCCUUGGCGAUUGAGAAUGACAAAGGUGUCCAUAUAGUUGUCGUUGGAGAAGUGUACGUUGGGAAGGAAGGAGAAGUGGUCAAGAAUCAUUUCAAACCCGUGCCUAGUGGUCAUUAUCGAGUUUGUAUUGAAGAAGAUAUCAACCCAAGUGCAACAUUGCCAUGUCCCGAGGGGGAAACAAAAUUCGUUUGUCAAAGCUUGGAUAGAUUUUUUAUAUGGGCUGCUCAUUUGGUUUUUUCGUUAAAGAAGAUAACUAAUGUAUCCUUAAGAAGAAGAACCUUGUUGUCAAGAUAUGCGAUGAUGUUGCUACACGAGGUGCUCGCAUUACUGAUGCUGCAAUACUGGUAUCGAUGUUGAUGUUGUUGCUGAUGAAGAUGAAGAUGAAGAUGAUGAUAACGAUGAUCUAGUGUGACUUAAGCUAGCUCAAGGAGAUGGUUACCUAAGUUGUUGCAAAAGUCGUUGUUGCUGCAUAAGUUGUUCUUGCUGCAGAAGCUCCUGCAGCAAAAUCCAAUCUCCGGUCCAAGUUGUUUACAAUCACCUCUUGGACUAGAAUCACCACCAAACAUGGGUUAAUCAAAGAUAACACCUUUUAACAUUUAAAGGUUUAGUCUUUUUGAGAUUCAAAACUCCAUUUUCAAUAUACAAGUUCUAGUUUUCAAUUUUCAAGAUCUUACCAUGUUUAGGGUUAUUCAUAGUUAUUUCCCUAAACUAGGAUCAUUUCAAGUUCAAGUUUCAAUCAUUUCAAGUUCAAAACUUCAAUAUUCAAGCUUUCAAGUUCAAGUUUAACGUACAAAAUCUAGGACAUUUGGGUUGAGCAACCUCUCCCAAGUUGAGAUUUUUGGCUUUGAA